GCGAUGGUGGUAUAGUGGUGAGCAUAGCUCCCUUCCAAGCAGUUGCCCUGGGGUCGAUUCCCAUCCAUUGCA
rnacentral:tRNA from 1 species